UACGAAGGGUGCAAACGUUGCUCGGAAUCAUUGGGCGUAAAGGGCGCGCAGGCGGCAUGGCAGGUCGGGUGUGAAAGCCCUGGGCUCAACCCAGGAAGUGCGCUCGAAACCGCUGUGCUUGAAUACCGGAGGGAGAGGUGGAAUUCCUGGUGUAGGGGUGAAAUCCGUAGAGAUCAGGAGGAACACCGGUGGCGAAGGCGACCUCUUGGCCGGCUAUUGACGCUGAGGCGCGAAGGCGUGGGGAGCAAACAGG
rnacentral:rRNA from 1 species